UUUCCGUAGGUGAACCUGCGGAAGGAUCAUUACAAUAGUCACCCAGGUUGCCGCAAGGCCUCCUGGGUAACCUACCACCCUUUGUUUAUUACACUUUGUUGCUUUGGCAAGCCUGCCCUCGGGCUGCUGGCUCCGGCCGGCGAGCGCUUGCCAGAGGACCUAAACUCUGUUUGUCUAUACUGUCUGAGUACUAUAUAAUAGUUAAAACUUUCAACAACGGAUCUCUUGGUUCUG
rnacentral:misc_RNA from 1 species